rnacentral:rRNA from 1 species
UACGUAGGGGGCAAGCGUUGUCCGGAUUUACUGGGCGUAAAGGGCGCGUAGGCGGCGUGGUAAGUCACUUGUGAAAUCUCUGAGCUUAACUCAGAACGGUCAAGUGAUACUGCUGUGCUAGAGUGCGGAAGGGGCAAUCGGAAUUCUUGGUGUAGCGGUGAAAUGCGUAGAUAUCAAGAGGAACACCUGAGGUGAAGACGGGUUGCUGGGCCGACACUGACGCUGAUGCGCGAAAGCCAGGGGAGCAAACGGG